AGUCACUGACAUUAGAUACCCCCUGUAGUCCCAGCCCUAAACGAUGCGCGUUAGGUGUAUCGGUGACCACGAGUCACCGAGGUGCCGAAGGGAAACCGUGAAACGUGCCGCCUGGGAAGUACGGUCGCAAGGCUGAAACUUAAAGGAAUUGGCGGGGGAGCACAACAACGGGUGGAGCUUGCGGUUUAAUUGGAUUCAACGCCGGAAAUCUUACCGGGACCGACAGCAACAUGAAGGCCAGGCUGAAGACUUUGCCGGAUUAGCUG
rnacentral:rRNA from 1 species